AUGUACACCCAUCCAUUGAGAUUUAUAUAAAUAGAGCAACUGGGUAGUUGUUACACUGAGUUAUGGUCACUGUGAUGACUGUUUUUGGACCGUUGAAAAAGUGACGGUGUCACGGAACGUGACUAUUAUGGGGUGGAGUACCAUUGGUCAGUGAGUGACAUGUGAUGGGUGGUCCGGAGGUUGGGAUGUCACACGUGUCCGUUAUGGGAGAUGAUAUUAUAGGGUUGAGGUGUCGCUCACACUAUCAACCAUUGCCAAC
rnacentral:lncRNA from 1 species